rnacentral:rRNA from 1 species
AAAAUGACUCUCGGCAACGGAUAUCUCGGCUCUCGCAUCGAUGAAGAACGUAGCGAAAUGCGAUACUUGGUGUGAAUUGCAGAAUCCCGUGAACCAUCGAGUCUUUGAACGCAAGUUGCGCCCGAAGCCAUUACGCUAAGGGCACGUCUGCCUGGGCGUCACG